UACGUAGGGUCCAAGCGUUAUCCGGAAUCACUGGGCGUAAAGCGUGCGUAGGUGGUCUGUUAAGUGAGAUGUGAAAACGUGUGGCUCAACCAUAUCGUUGUGUCUCAUACUGACAGACUAGAGGACGGCAGGGGCAAGUGGAAUUUCUCGUGUAGCAGUGAAAUGCGUAGAUAUGAGAAGGAACACCAAUGGCGAAGGCAGCUUGCUGGGCCGCCCCUGACACUGAGGUACGAAAGCGUGGGGAGCGAACAGG
rnacentral:rRNA from 1 species